GACGAACGCUGGCGGCGUGCCUAAUACAUGCAAGUAGAACGCUGAAGAGAGGAGCUUGCUCUUCUUGGAUGAGUUGCGAACGGGUGAGUAACGCGUAGGUAACCUGCCUUGUAGCGGGGGAUGACUAUUGGAAACGAUAGCUAAUACCGCAUAACAAUGGAUGACACAUGUCAUUUAUUUGAAAGGGGCAAUUGCUCCACUACAAGAUGGACCUGCGUUGUAUUAGCUAGUAGGUGAGGUAAUGGCUCACCUAGACGACGAUACAUAGCCGACCUGAGAGGGUGAUCGGCCACACUGGGACUGAGACACGGCCCAGACUCCUACGGGAGGCAGCAGUAGGGAAUCUUCGGCAAUGGGGGCAACCCUGACCGAGCAACGCCGCGUGAGUGAAGAAGGUUUUCGGAUCGUAAAGCUCUGUUGUAAGUCAAGAACGGGUGUGAGAGUGGAAAGUUCACACUGUGACGGUAGCUUACCAGAAAGGGACGGCUAACUACGUG
rnacentral:rRNA from 1 species